UCUACAGCUGAUGCUCCUUGUUUCAUGUGUACCACAGGGUACUCUAUCUAGAGCUGAUGCUCCUUGUUUCAGGUGUUCCACAGGGUACCUUAUCUACAGCUGGUGCUCCUUGUUUCAGGUGUACCACAGGGUGCCCUAUCUACAGCUGGUGCUCCUUGUGUUCAGGUGUACCACAGGGUACCCUAUCUUCAGCUGAUGCUCCUUGUUUCAGGUGUACCACAGGGUACCCUAUCUAGAGCUGAUGCUCCUUGUUUCAGGUGUACCACAGGGUGCCCUAUCUACAGCUGAUGCUCCUUGUUUCAG